rnacentral:pre_miRNA from 2 species
UUUUAUAGUUGAGUAAAGAAAGUGGUUUCUUGAGAUGGAAUCUACUCCUGCUGAAGGUUCUGUGAA